CCUACGGGUGGCAGCAGUGAGGAAUAUUGGUCAAUGGGCGCGAGCCUGAACCAGCCAAGUAGCGUGAAGGAUGACUGCCCUACGGGUGGUAAACUUCUUUUGUAAAGGAAUAAGGUGAGGCACGUGUGCCUUUUUGUAUGUACUUUAUGAAUAAGGAUCGGCUCACUCCGUGCCAGCAGCCGCGGUAAUACGGAGGAUCCGAGCGUUAUCCGGAUUUGAUGGGUUUAAAGGGAGCGUAGAUGGGUUGUUAAGUCAGUUGUGAAAGUUUGCGGCUCAACCGUAAAAUUGCAAUUGAUACUGGCAGUCUUGAGUACAGUUGAGGUAGGUGGAAUUCGUGGUGUAGCGGUGAAAUGCUUAGAUAUCACGAAGAACUCCGAUUGCGAAGGCAGCUUACUAAACUGCCACUGACAUUGAUGCUCGAAAGUGUGGGUAGCAAACAGGAUUAGAUACCCUUGUAGUC
rnacentral:rRNA from 1 species